rnacentral:rRNA from 1 species
ACGCACGCUGGCGGCGUGCUUAGCCCCUGCCAGUCGAACGGAAAGGCCCUGCUUUUGUGGGGUGCUCGAGUGGCGAACGGGUGAGUAACACGUGAGUAACCUGCCCUUGACUUUGGGAUAACUUCAGGAAACUGGGGCUAAUACCGGAUAGGAGCUCCUGCUGCAUGGUGGGGGUUGGAAAGUUUCGGCGGUUGGGGAUGGACUCGCGGCUUAUCAGCUUGUUGGUGGGGUAGUGGCUUACCAAGGCUUUGACGGGUAGCCGGCCUGAGAGGGUGACCGGCCACAUUGGGACUGAGAUACGGCCCAGACUCCUACGGGAGGCAGCAGUGGGGAAUAUUGCACAAUGGGCGGAAGCCUGAUGCAGCAACGCCGCGUGCGGGAUGACGGCCUUCGGGUUGUAAACCGCUUUCGCCUGUGACGAAGCGUGAGUGACGGUAAUGGGUAAAGAAGCACCGGCUAACUACGUG